AUAACACUAACCUUGCCACGCACUAAAGAUUGGAAGAAUAAAUCAGCCAGCCUGUAAUUAUAUUGGGAGAGCCAGCUUUAUUCUUUAGUGAGCAGAUUGAUGUAUCUGUUUAGACUGGUUGCCCUUAGGGCUCUCUGGGAACCUGGUCUGACUUUCUAGUGCCCAGGCAGGCACUGCCCCAGAUCACUGCGUAUAUAGGUGAGUUACCGCUGUGCAGGUCUGUCAGGACCAAACUGGUUUCCAAACCUGGCUGGCUUCUCCGCAAGGUGCAUAGCUGUCAAAAGUGAAACAAAGCGAAGGGCUUGGGAUGCCAGAAAGACAAAAGCUCAUCCAUCAGGCUCAGCAGGAAAGGCAGGGGAGGCAGCGGCGGGAAGCCUUCCUUAGCUGUGUGAUCCUAGAUGGCUGGUAACUUAGCAUUUGAGGACUGUCUCAGAUAGACACAAUUGGACCAGGCUUAAAAGUAAGCAUGACGGAGAACAAGAGAGAAGGCGUGCCCUGGCAACCAUUGCCAGGAAACAGAUUUCACUGAAGUCAUAAAUUAGAAAGAUAACCCACUUACCGGAGGUGAAAGGGACCCAUCAUAGGCCUGCAGUGAUUCUGAUGACUCACAGGAAAGCAGUCCAGCUUGUUUGGCCAGUUCUUGGGUUAUUGGACAGUCAUUAAUAGCUUUGGAGCUACUGAAGUCUCCUCUGGUGCCCUGAAGCUUCAUUACUUCCAUGAAAUUCAGAGAGAGAGUGACAAUCUUGCAGUGAAGAAUAAUUCAAUGGAAAUUCAUAGCUUUGUCCCCAACCACCAACAACCAGGAAGCACAAAUGCUCAGACAUUAGCUGUGACUUCUACCCAAAGGCAAGGUAAAAUAUCAUUGCCAAGGAUUACAUUCAAAUGACCUCUAAUGUGGUUUUCUGAUGGAGGGAAGAACUGAAGACAACACUAGUUCAUCAGAAAAUGCUGAGUGGAGAAUCGCAGAGGUAGGGAGAAGAGAGAGCUGUGCAUCUUAAGGCAAGAUGACAGGCUCGGAAGUCAACAGCCUCAAGCAGAAGCAUGCAGGGUUCUGGGAUGAGAAACAUGACUCAGCAUUUAUCCUUUCCUAUAAAACAUAGCAGCGUGUUAAGGCUGCAUUUGAAAUUUUACACUAAGGCCAGUGAUAAUAUCUAAAUUACGGUCAUGACAUGCAUAACUUGAUAUCAGGUAGACUAGAAAUUUUUCCUAAAAUUAGAGAAGUUACAACCAAACCCAAACCUAUCAUUUCUGUAUCCAAUGACAGUCACAAAAGUAUGAAUAUCUAUGAGGAAUUAUAAUAAAUCUAAAAUUUCUCUGGCCAGUCCUAUUUCUUUUAGAAUGUCAAGCAGCA
ensembl:lincRNA